GCAAAGUAGCAUUCCCUGUUCCCAAGGGCAUCUGGAGCCGAACGAUUGCUGUUGGAUUUGCUGCUGCUUGAACACCAAGACCUUCACCAGCCCUGCGAAGACGUGGGAGUGGUGGAUCAGCCAUGAAGAUCCUGUACCUGCUCUUCCCCUUGCUCCUCCUGCUGGUCCAGGUUGCUGCAGAAACACAAAGCGAAUUCAAGUGCCUACUAAGCGGGGGUGACUGCAGAUUUGCGAUAUGUGCCUAUGGUACAAAACCAAUUGGAAGAUGCUCAACAUUUAGAGUAUGUUGCAAAAGUAUGUGGCAUUGAAACCCUGAAAUGUCCAAGCAGGAUGUUCCCCUCACUUCUGGCUCCUGGAACCAUCUCCCGAUGUCCUUUCCCUUCCCUGCCUCUGCCAUGCCCAGCUGCUGGCACAGCAGCAGUGGCAGCUGCUCCUGCUGGGUGUUGCUGGGCUGGAGACAUCUCGUCCCAGCUGUGGGGUCUGUGGGGCAGAGGCUGCUUUUCCCAGCUUGAAUAA